rnacentral:rRNA from 1 species
GAUAAACGCUGGCGGCGUGCCUAACACAUGCAAGUCGAACGAAGUUGCGAACGGGUGAGUAACACGUGAGUAACCUGCCUUACACAAGGGGAUAGCCUUUGGAAACGAAGAAUAAUACCCUAUAGUGUAAGAUGGACUUGCGUCUGAUUAGCUAGUUGGUGGGAUAAAAGCCCACCAAGGCGACGAGCAGUAGCCGGGUUGGGAGAGUGGACCGGAACAUUGGGACAGAGACACGGCCCAAACUCUACGGGAGGCAGCAGUGGUGAAGUUGGCACAAUGGGGGAAACCCGAAUGCAGCGACGCCGCGUGAUUUAGAAGGCAGUCGGGUUGUAAAAAUCUUUUUUAUGGGAUGCAGUACCAUAAGAAUAAGGUCCGGCUAAAUACGUGCCAGCCGCCGCGGUAAUAC